CAAUAGCGUAUAUUAAAGUUGUUGCGGUUAAAAAGCUCGUAGUUGGAUUUCUGCUGAGAACGACCGGUCCGCCCAUUGGGUGUGUAUCUGGCUCUUUCUUGGCAUCUUCUUGGUGAACGUUACUGCACUUGACUGUGUGGAGCGCUACCCAGGACUUUUACUUUGAGGAAAUUAGAGUGUUUCAAGCAGGCAUACGCCUUGAAUACGUUAGCAUGGAAUAAUAAGAUAGGACCUCGGUUCUAUUUUGUUGGUUUCUAGAGCUGAGGUAAUGAUUAAUAGGGAUAGUUGGGGGCAUUCGUAUUUAACUGUCAGAGGUGAAAUUCUUGGAGUUGUUAAAGACGGACUACUGCGAAAGCAUUUGCCAAGGAUGUUUUCAUUGA
rnacentral:rRNA from 1 species